rnacentral:rRNA from 1 species
UACGUAGGGGGCUAGCGUUGUCCGGAUUUAUUGGGCGUAAAGAGCGUGUAGGCGGCUUGGCAAGUCUGCUGUGAAAACUCGAGGCUCAACCUCGAGCUGUCGGUGGAAACUGCUUGGCUAGAGUCCGGAAGAGGAGAGUGGAAUUCCUGGUGUAGCGGUGAAAUGCGCAGAUAUCAGGAGGAACACCAAUUGCGAAGGCAGCUCGCUGGGACGUUACUGACGCUGAGACGCGAAAGCGUGGGGAGCAAACAGG